UACGUAGGGGGCAAGCGUUGUCCGGAAUCAUUGGGCGUAAAGCGCGUGUAGGCGGCCAGGUAAGUCCGUUCUGAAAGCCCGGGGCUCAACCCCGGGAGGCGGAUGGAUACUGCUUGGCUCGAGUCCGGAAGAGGUGAGUGGAAUUCCCGGUGUAGCGGUGAAAUGCGCAGAUAUCGGGAGGAACACCAAUGGCGAAGGCAGCUCACUGGGACGGUACUGACGCUGAAACGCGAAAGCGUGGGGAGCAAACAGG
rnacentral:rRNA from 1 species